UUGAGCCGGAUGCUGGGCAACUUGCACGUCCGGUUCUUAGGAGGCUAGGGGGCAGUAAUGCCCCCCCGCUACCCGAC
rnacentral:ncRNA from 1 species